rnacentral:lncRNA from 1 species
AUUGAAACUCAAUAUUUGGCUUUUAAUUUCCUCCUCCUUUCUCUUCAAGAAACACCACAAAUUAAAUUAAAGUUGAUCGUAAAAUCCUUUGGUCUUAGCACGAAAAAACCAAGAAAAAUAAUAUGCUGUAUACAUCUUCAUUUCUUUGACGACUCAAUUACCUGCCACCUACAAAUGGUACGUCUUUUUAUAAAUAUAUAUAUAGAGAGAAUUAAUUAUAAGUAUAUUUCCAUUUUGUCUAGCUAUCACUUUUUAAUUACACGUCUCAUCCUUUUAGGGUCCUUUUGGUUAUUGGGAUUAUGAAAAUAAUUCCGGUAUAAAUUUGGUAUUAUUCUAUAGGAGUACUUCAAUUGAUUGUAUUUUUGAAAGUAAUAAUAAUUGUAUAAUUUUAUAUCAGAAUCUUGGUACUCCCUUCGGUCCAAAAUAAGUGAUUUUUUGGCUUUGUUCUUGUGGUCCAAAAUAAGUGAUUUUUCCAGAUUUCAAGAAUGAAUUAAUUAUUUUUUUCCUACAUUGCCUUUUGAGUAAUUAAUGUUGGAGUAUGUGUUAGGAGUGUUUAUAUGAAGAGAUAGUAAAGGUUAAUAUGGUCAAUUUUAUUGCUAAUUAAUGUUAAAAGGUGAGUUUCUUUAAUCUGUGUGAAAACAACAAAAAAAUUACUUAUUUUAGACCGGAGGGAGUAUUGUUUUAUACCAUAUGUAUUAUGAGAUAACAAUCCAAUGAUUAGGAUUAGCUAUUUGCUGAAUAAAACAAGUAAAAUGAAACUGCUUUAUUAUUUUGUUACUCACUAUUUUUCAACAUGGCUUCUAUUUCAAUCCUACUUAGAAAUGCUUUUCUUGAGCCGAGGUAGAGGCGGCGUAAGCUCAUAUAUGGCCAAAGUUAGGCCUAAAAUUCUUAUAUAUCAAUAAAAAAUUCUUACCUUUUAUAUAAAAAAAUUUACUUUUGUACUAAAAAUAUUUAAUAAAAGGUAAGAAUUUUCUAAAUAAAUAUUUUUAUUUGAAAUACCUAUAAAACUGUUAUUUCUAAAAAAUAAAAGGGGCCUCUCAAAUUUGGGGCUGAGGCACAAGCCUUAUUAUCUAUAAUACUAGAGUCAUCCUUGAGCCGAAAGUCUAUCGAAAACGGCCUCCUACCUACACAAGUAGGGAUAAGGUCUGUGCAUAAACUACCCUUUUCAGAUCCCACUUGUAAAAAUACUUUGGGAUAUAUUAUUAUUGUUGUUAUUAAUCUCAUUGUUAGUUUACAUGCAGUCUUUUGUUCCCAUGAUGCUUCGAGUUUUGGUCAGAUUUGUAACAUCUAUAGCAAGUGAACCAGCAACUUCAGUCACUACUAUUCUCUUUUACAGUGAGCUUCUUCCUCAGAGUACAGUGCUACAGAGAUUGAUUCGACAUGAAUUAGUUCUUAAUGACCAAGACAAUUAUCUGUUACAUUUACUCAUUUUCCUCUUGAGCUGUUUUGUAGCUUAAUUAUAGAUAUGUAUCUUAAAGUCGUUCAAGUAAAAAAUGAGUUAAUCAUUAUAGGCACAUUCAAGGUUUGAAAUUUAUGAGUUUGUACGACAAUCUCAAGUUAAUAGUAUAAUAAUAACUGGCCGAAUUCAGAGUAAACUUAUAGAUGGUUAGUGGAUUUCUUAGCAUAAAGUAUCCCGCAUUCACGCAAGGUCGAGGAAAGUGCC